CCUACGGGAGGCAGCAGUGAGGAAUAUUGGUCAAUGGACGGAAGUCUGAACCAGCCAUGCCGCGUGCAGGAUGACGGCUCUAUGAGUUGUAAACUGCUUUUGUACGGGAAUAAUAGUUCUUACGUGUACGGCUUUGAAUGUAUCGUACGAAUAAGGAUCGGCUAACUCCGUGCCAGCAGCCGCGGUAAUACGGAGGAUUCGAGCGUUAUCCGGAUUUAUUGGGUUUAAAGGGUGCGUAGGCUGUCGGCUAAGUUCGAGGUCAAAGGUCGAGGCUUAACCCCGUGCCUGCCUUUGAUACUGGUCGACUAGAGAGCGGAUGCAGCAGGCGGAAUGAGUAGUGUAGCGGUGAAAUGCUUAGAUAUGACGCAGAACACCGAUUGCGCAGGCAGCUUGCUAAUCCGCAACUGACGCUGAGGCACGAAAGCGUGGGUAGCGAACAGGAUUAGAUACCCGGGUAGUC
rnacentral:rRNA from 1 species